GAAGAUAUUGAAUCCGCAGAUCCU
rnacentral:siRNA from 1 species